rnacentral:rRNA from 1 species
AGUGAACGCUGGCGGUAGGCCUAACACAUGCAAGUCGAACGGCAGCACAGUAAGAGCUUGCUCUUACGGGUGGCGAGUGGCGGACGGGUGAGGAAUAAAUCGGAAUCUACUUUUUCGUGGGGGAUAACGUAGGGAAACUUACGCUAAUACCGCAUACGACCUACGGGUGAAAGCAGGGGAUCUUCGGACCUUGCGCGAUUGAAUGAGCCGAUGUCGGAUUAGCUAGUUGGCGGGGUAAAGGCCCACCAAGGCGACGAUCCGUAGCUGGUCUGAGAGGAUGAUCAGCCACACUGGAACUGAGACACGGUCCAGACUCCUACGGGAGGCAGCAGUGGGGAAUAUUGGACAAAGGGCGCAAGCCUGAUCCAGCCACACCGCGUGGGUGAAGAAGGCCUUCGGGUUGUAAAGCCCUUUUGUUGGGAAAGAAAAGCAGCAGGUUAAUACCCCGCUGUUCUGACGGUACCCAAAGAAUAAGCACCGGCUAACUUCGUG